rnacentral:lncRNA from 12 species
AUAUUUGGUGGCGAUACACAGCAAAGACUGCAGGUUUGCAUGUCUAACGCAGCUGCCUCCUGCAGGCACUGUGAACUUCCUGGAACUUUUUGCAUGCAUUUUUCCCCCCAUAUUUUUCCUUCAAUAUCCUUUUUGGAAACGAAGCCUGAAGGAAGUAAAUUUCAGAGAUUGUGUGAAGGUCGCUGGAGCCAGGAGGAAAUUAAGCCUGUUCUGAAGUCCCAGCCACAAGAUGGUGAGUCCUACACUCAAGCCCUCCAUGAGCGAGAUGAUCCAAAAGCUCUUCGGCCAGCAUGGAGUCCAUGAUCCCAG